rnacentral:rRNA from 1 species
CAUGAACGCUAGCGGGAGGCCUAACACAAGCAAGCCGAGCGGUAUUGUUUCUUCGGAAAUGAGAGAGCGGCGUACGGGUGCGGAACACGUGUGCAACCUGCCUUUAUCUGGGGGAUAGCCUUUCGAAAGGAAGAUUAAUACUCCAUAAUAUAUUGAACGGCAUCGUUUAAUAUUGAAAGCUCCGGCGGAUAGAGAUGGGCACGCGCAAGAUUAGCUAGUUGGUGAGGUAACGGCUCACCAAGGCAAUGAUCUUUAGGGGGCCUGAGAGGGUGAUCCACGACACUGGUACUGAGACACGGACCAGACUCCUACGGGAGGCAGAAGUGAGGAAUAUUGGUCAAUGGGUGCAAGCCUGAACCAGCCAUCCCGCGUGAAGGACGACUGCCCUAUGGGUUGUAAACUUCUUUUGUAUAGGGAUAAACCUUUCCACGUGUGGAAAGCUGAAGGUACUAUACGAAUAAGCACCGGCUAACUCCGUGCCAGCCGCCGCAGUAAAAC